rnacentral:rRNA from 1 species
ACCUGGCGGCAGGCCUAACACAUGCAAGUCGAACGAGAAGCAGUCCUUCGGGAUUGUGGAAAGUGGCAGACGGGUGAGUAACGCGUGGGAAUCUACCCAGUGGUACGGAAUAACUCAGGGAAACUUUGGGCUAAUACCGUAUGAGCCCUUCGGGGGAAAGUUUAUCGCCAUUGGAUGAGCCCGCGUCUGAUUAGCUUGUUGGUGGGGUAACGGCCCACCAAGGCGACGAUCAGUAGCUGGUCUGAGAGGAUGAUCAGCCACACUGGGACUGAGACACGGCCCAGACUCCUACGGGAGGCAGCAGUUGGGGAAUAUUUGGACAAUGGGCGCAAGCCUGAUCCAGCCAUGCCGCGUGAGUGAUGAAGGCCCUAGGGUUGUAAAGCUCUUUCGCCUGUGAAGAUAAUGACGGUAGCAGGUAAAGAAACCCCGGCUAACUCCGUUCCAGCAGCCGCGGUAAUACGGAGGGGGUUAGCGUUGUUCGGAAUUACUGGGCGUAAAGCGCACGUAGGCGGACUGGAAA